rnacentral:rRNA from 1 species
UGCCGCGUGUGUGAAGAAGGCCUUCGGGUUGUAAAGCACUUUCAGUCAGGAGGAAAGGUUAGUAGUUAAUACCUGCUAGCUGUGACGUUACUGACAGAAGAAGCACCGGCUAACUCCGUGCCAGCAGCCGCGGUAAUACGGAGGGUGCGAGCGUUAAUCGGAAUUACUGGGCGUAAAGCGUACGCAGGCGGUUGAUUAAGCGAGAUGUGAAAGCCCCGGGCUUAACCUGGGAACUGCAUUUCGAACUGGUCAACUAGAGUGUGAUAGAGGGUGGUAGAAUUUCAGGUGUAGCGGUGAAAUGCGUAGAGAUCUGAAGGAAUACCGAUGGCGAAGGCAGCCACCUGGGUCAACACUGACGCUCAUGUACGAAAGCGUGGGGAGCAAACAGGAUUAGAUAC